GGCGUGCUUAACACAUGCAAGUCGAACGAAGCACUUACAAUUGAUUCUUCGGAUGAAAGAGUAUUUGACUGAGUGGCGGACGGGUGAGUAACGCGUGGGUAACCUGCCUCAUACAGGGGGAUAACAGUUAGAAAUGACUGCUAAUACCGCAUAAGCGCACAGGACCGCAUGGUCUGGUGUGAAAAACUCCGGUGGUAUGAGAUGGACCCGCGUCUGAUUAGCUAGUUGGUGGGGUAACGGCUCACCAAGGCAACGAUCAGUAGCCGGCCUGAGAGGGUGAACGGCCACAUUGGGACUGAGACACGGCCCAAACUCCUACGGGAGGCAGCAGUGGGGAAUAUUGCACAAUGGGGGAAACCCUGAUGCAGCGACGCCGCGUGAGCGAAGAAGUAUUUCGGUAUGUAAAGCUCUAUCCUCGAGGACGAAGGAAGUGACGGUACUCGAGAAGGAAGCCCCGGCUAACUACGUGCCAGCAGCCGCGGUAAUACGUAGGGGGCAAGCGUUGUCCGGAAUGACUGGGCGUAAAGGGCGUGUAGGCGGCCGAUUAAGUCUGGAGUGAAAGUCCUGCUUUCAAGGUGGGAAUUGCUUUGGAGACUGGUUGGCUUGAGUGCGGAAGAGGUAAGUGGAAUUCCCAGUGUAGCGGUGAAAUGCGUAGAGAUUGGGAGGAACACCAGUGGCGAAGGCGACUUACUGGGCCGUAACUGACGCUGAGGCGCGAAAGCGUGGGGAGCGAACAGGAUUAGAUACCCUGGUAGUCCACGCUGUAAACGAUGAAUGCUAGGUGUUGCGGGUAUCGACCCCUGCAGUGCCGGAGUAAACGCAAUAAGCAUUCCGCCUGGGGAGUACGGCCGCAAGGUUGAAACUCAAAGGAAUUGACGGGGGCCCGCACAAGCAGCGGAGCAUGUUGUUUAAUUCGAAGCAACGCGAAGAACCUUACCAUGUCUUGACAUCGAGGAAAAAGGCCAGAGAUGGCCCUAGCCUUCGGGCAUCCGAAGACAGGUGGUGCAUGGUUGUCGUCAGCUCGUGUCGUGAGAUGUUGGGUUAAGUCCCGCAACGAGCGCAACCCUUAUGGUCAGUUACUAACACGUGAUGGUGAGGACUCUGACAAGACUGCCGGGGACAACUCGGAGGAAGGUGGGGACGACGUCAAAUCAUCAUGCCCCUUAUGACAUGGGCUACAAACGUGCUACAAUGGUGGUUACAAAGAGGAGCAAGCUCGUGAGGGUAAGCGGAUCUCAAAAAAGCCAUCUCAGUUCGGAUUGUGGGCUGCAACCCGCCCACAUGAAGUUGGAGUUGCUAGUAAUCGAGGAUCAGAAUGCCGCGGUGAAUACGUUCCCGGGC
rnacentral:rRNA from 1 species